AGGGGUAUAGUUCAAUGGUAGAACGACGGUCUCCAAAACCGUUAAUCCGGGUUCAAAUCCUGGUACCCCUGCCA
rnacentral:tRNA from 1 species